CCUACGGAGAGCAGCAGUGGGGAAUAUUGGACAAUGGGCGAAAGCCUGAUCCAGCCAUGCCGCGUGUGUGAAGAAGGCCUUCGGGUUGUAAAGCACUUUCAGUGGGGAAGAAAGCCUUGGGGCUAAUACCCUCGAGGAAGGACAUCACCCACAGAAGAAGCACCGGCUAACUCCGUGCCAGCAGCCGCGGUAAUACGGAGGGUGCGAGCGUUAAUCGGAAUUACUGGGCGUAAAGCGCGCGUAGGCGGUCUGAUAAGCCGGUUGUGAAAGCCCCGGGCUCAACCUGGGAACGGCAUCCGGAACUGUCAGGCUAGAGUGCAGGAGAGGAAGGUAGAAUUCCCGGUGUAGCGGUGAAAUGCGUAGAGAUCGGGAGGAAUACCAGUGGCGAAGGCGGCCUUCUGGACUGACACUGACGCUGAGGUGCGAAAGCGUGGGUAGCAAACAGGAUUAGAUACCCUGGUAGUC
rnacentral:rRNA from 1 species